rnacentral:rRNA from 1 species
GGGAAACUGCCUAAUGGAGGGGGAUAACUACUGGAAACGGUGGCUAAUACCGCAUAACGUCGCAAGACCAAAGAGGGGGACCUUCGGGCCUCUUGCCAUCAGAUGUGCCCAGAUGGGAUUAGCUUGUUGGUGAGGUAACGGCUCACCAAGGCGACGAUCCCUAGCUGGUCUGAGAGGAUGACCAGCCACACUGGAACUGAGACACGGUCCAGACUCCUACGGGAGGCAGCAGUGGGGAAUAUUGCACAAUGGGCGCAAGCCUGAUGCAGCCAUGCCGCGUGUAUGAAGAAGGCCUUAGGGUUGUAAAGUACUUUCAGCGGGGAGGAAGGUGUUGCGGUUAAUAACCGCAGCAAUUGACGUUACCCGCAGAAGAAGCACCGGCUAACUCCGUGCCAGCAGCCGCGGUAAUACGGAGGGUGCAAGCGUUAAUCGGAAUUACUGGGCGUAAAGCGCACGCAGGCGGUCUGUCAAGUCGGAUGUGAAAUCCCCGGGCUCAACCUGGGAACUGCAUUCGAAACUGGCAGGCUUGAGUCUUGUAGAGGGGGGUAGAAUUCCAGGUGUAGCGGUGAAAUGCGUAGAGAUCUGGAGGAAUACCGGUGGCGAAGGCGGCCCCCUGGACAAAGACUGACGCUCAGGUGCGAAAGCGUGGGGAGCAAACAGGAUUAGAUACCCUGGUAGUCCACGCCGUAAACGAUGUCUACUUGGAGGUUGUGCCCUUGAGGCGUGGCUUCCGGAGCUAACGCGUUAAGUAGACCGCCUGGGGAGUACGGCCGCAAGGUUAAAACUCAAAUGAAUUGACGGGGGCCCGCACAAGCGGUGGAGCAUGUGGUUUAAUUCGAUGCAACGCGAAGAACCUUACCUGGUCUUGACAUCCACAGAAGAAUCCAGAGAUGGAUUUGUGCCUUCGGGAACUGUGAGACAGGUGCUGCAUGGCUGUCGUCAGCUCGUGUUGUGAAAUGUUGGGUUAAGUCCCGCAACGAGCGCAACCCUUAUCCUUUGUUGCCAGCGGUUAGGCCGGGAACUCAAAGGAGACUGCCAGUGAUAAACUGGAGGAAGGUGGGGAUGACGUCAAGUCAUCAUGGCCCUUACGACCAGGGCUACACACGUGCUACAAUGGCGCAUACAAAGAGAAGCGACCUCGCGAGAGCAAGCGGACCUCAUAAAGUGCGUCGUAGUCCGGAUUGGAGUCUGCAACUCGACUCCAUGAAGUCGGAAUCGCUAGUAAUCGUGGAUCAGAAUGCCACGGUGAAUACGUUCCCGGGCCUUGUACACACCGCCCGUCACACCAUGGGAGUGGGUUGCAAAAGAAGUAGGUAGCUUAACCUUCGGGAGGGCGCUUACCACUUUGUGAUUCAUGACUGGGGUGAAGUCGUAACAAGGUAACCGUAGGGGAACCUGCGGUUGGAUCACCUCCUUACCUUAAAGAAGC